rnacentral:misc_RNA from 1 species
GAACGCCGUAUGCUAUGAAAGUGGCACUUACGGUGUAAGACAAUGGAAAAGGCAACCCUAACGAGUUAUGCCGAGGGUGAGCUUUACCUAUUGUCAU